rnacentral:misc_RNA from 1 species
ACUCCUCAAUUUCUUGUUUUAUCUGCAUCCAAGAAUGAAUUAUUUGUAAAUGAAAACAAGUUUAAAAUAAAAGCCUAACAAACUGAAUCAAAUGAUUGCCUAUUUCACUAGUGUUACCUGCAAAUAUUCAGUGGUCAAUCAACUAGGAAAUGCUUUUUUUCCCUCUUACAUAUAUAUAUAGCAAAAAGACUGAUCGGCUAUUAACUUUGGAACACCAAACUUAAUGCUAAAAUAAUGUUGACCAAUUACAACAGUAUAGCCACAACAGAACACAAGCAGUCAACCAGAUUCCACAAAUUACCUCCAAUGGAAGGGUUGCAACAAG